GCUUAACACAUGCAAGUCGAGGGGCAGCAUGGUCUUAGCUUGCUAAGGCCGAUGGCGACCGGCGCACGGGUGAGUAACACGUAUCCAACCUGCCGUCUACUCUUGGACAGCCUUCUGAAAGGAAGAUUAAUACAAGAUGGCAUCAUGAGUCCGCAUGUUCACAUGAUUAAAGGUAUUCCGGUAGACGAUGGGGAUGCGUUCCAUUAGAUAGUAGGCGGGGUAACGGCCCACCUAGUCUUCGAUGGAUAGGGGUUCUGAGAGGAAGGUCCCCCACAUUGGAACUGAGACACGGUCCAAACUCCUACGGGAGGCAGCAGUGAGGAAUAUUGGUCAAUGGGCGAGAGCCUGAACCAGCCAAGUAGCGUGAAGGAUGGCUGCCCUAUGGGUUGUAAACUUCUUUUAUAAAGGAAUAAAGUCGGGUAUGGAUACCCGUUUGCAUGUACUUUAUGAAUAAGGAUCGGCUAACUCCGUGCCAGCAGCCGCGGUAAUACGGAGGAUCCGAGCGUUAUCCGGAUUUAUUGGGUUUAAAGGGAGCGUAGAUGGAUGUUUAAGUCAGUUGUGAAAGUUUGCGGCUCAACCGUAAAAUUGCAGUUGAUACUGGAUAUCUUGAGUGCAGUUGAGGCAGGCGGAAUUCGUGGUGUAGCGGUGAAAUGCUUAGAUAUCACGAAGAACUCCGAUUGCGAAGGCAGCCUGCUAAGCUGCAACUGACAUUGAGGCUCGAAAGUGUGGGUAUCAAACAGGAUUAGAUACCCUGGUAGUCCACACGGUAACCGAUGAAUACUCGCUGUUUGCGAUAUACGGCAAGCGGCCAAGCGAAAGCGUUAAGUAUUCCACCUGGGGAGUACGCCGGCAACGGUGAAACUCAAAGGAAUUGACGGGGGCCCGCACAAGCGGAGGAACAUGUGGUUUAAUUCGAUGAUACGCGAGGAACCUUACCCGGGCUUAAAUUGCAGAUGAAUUACGGUGAAAGCCGUAAGCCGCAAGGCAUCUGUGAAGGUGCUGCAUGGUUGUCGUCAGCUCGUGCCGUGAGGUGUCGGCUUAAGUGCCAUAACGAGCGCAACCCUUGUUGUCAGUUACUAACAGGUUCCGCUGAGGACUCUGACAAGACUGCCAUCGUAAGAUGUGAGGAAGGUGGGGAUGACGUCAAAUCAGCACGGCCCUUACGUCCGGGGCUACACACGUGUUACAAUGGGGGGUACAGAGGGCCGCUACCACGCGAGUGGAUGCCAAUCCCCAAAACCUCUCUCAGUUCGGACUGGAGUCUGCAACCCGACUCCACGAAGCUGGAUUCGCUAGUAAUCGCGCAUCAGCCACGGCGCGGUGAAUACGUUCCCGGGCCUUGUACACACCGCCCGUCAAGCCAUGGGAGCCGGGGGUACCUGAAGUGCGUAACCGCGAGGAGCGCCCUAGGGUAAAACUGGUGACUGGGGCUAAG
rnacentral:rRNA from 1 species